GGCAAUGUGACCGAGUGGUUAAGGUGUUGGAUUUAAGUCCCAAUGGGUGCUAACCCGCGCGAGUUCGAACCUCGCCGUUGCCA